CCUACGGUAGGCAGCAGUAGGGAAUCUUCCACAAUGGGCGAAAGCCUGAUGGAGCAACGCCGCGUGGGUGAAGAAGGUCUUCGGAUCGUAAAACCCUGUUGUUAGAGAAGACAGUGCGUGAGAGUAACUGUUCACGUUUCGACGGUAUCUAACCAGAACGCCACGGCUAACUACGUACCAGCAGCCGCGGUAAUACGUAGGUGGUAAGCGUUAUCCGGAUUUAUUGGGCGUAAAGGGAACGCAGGCGGUCUUUUAAGGAUGAUGGGAAAGCCUUCGGCUUAACCGGAGUAGUGCAUUGGAAACUGGGAGACUUGAGUGCAGAAGAGGAGGGUGGAACUCCAUGUGUAGCGGUGAAAUGCGUAGAUAUAUGGAAGAACACCAGUGGCGAAAGCGGCUCUCUGGUCUGUAACUGACGCUGAGGUUCGAAAGCGUGGGUAGCAAACAGGAGUAGAUACCCGGGUAGUC
rnacentral:rRNA from 1 species